rnacentral:tRNA from 1 species
CGGGGUGUAGUAUAGUGGUAACACGCCGCGCUGGGGGUGCGGCAUCGGGAGUUCGAUUCUCCCCACCCCGACUA